rnacentral:rRNA from 1 species
GACAGAGGGGGCAAGCGUUGUCCGGACUAACUGGGCGUAAAGCGCGCGCAGGCGGUCGGAGGCGUCGGUGCUGAAAGUCCACCGCUUAACGGUGGGAUGCGUGCCGAUACGCUUCGACUGGAGGACGGGCGAGGGUGGUGGAAUUGCCGGUGUAGUGGUGAAAUGCGUAGAGAUCGGCAGGAACACCAGUGGGGGAGCCGGCCACCGUAGCCCGCACCUGACGCUGAGGCGCGACAGCGUGGGGAGCGAACCGG